UACGGAGGGUGCAAGCGUUGUCCGGAAUUACUGGGCGUAAAGAGUUCGUAGGCGGUUUGUCGCGUCGUUUGUGAAAACCAGCAGCUCAACUGCUGGCUUGCAGGCGAUACGGGCAGACUUGAGUACUGCAGGGGAGACUGGAAUUCCUGGUGUAGCGGUGAAAUGCGCAGAUAUCAGGAGGAACACCGGUGGCGAAGGCGGGUCUCUGGGCAGUAACUGACGCUGAGGAACGAAAGCGUGGGGAGCAAACAGG
rnacentral:rRNA from 1 species